GACGAACGCUGGCGGCGUGCUUAACACAUGCAAGUCGAACGGAAAGGCCCUGCUUUUGUGGGGUGCUCGAGUGGCGAACGGGUGAGUAACACGUGAGUAACCUGCCCUUGACUUUGGGAUAACUUCAGGAAACUGGGGCUAAUACCGGAUAGGAGAUCCUGCUUCAUGGUGGGGGUUGGAAAGUUUCGUCGGUUGGGGAUGGACUCGCGGCUUAUCAGCUGGUUGGUGGGGUAGUGGCUUACCAAGGCUUUGACGGGUAGCCGGCCUGAGAGGGUGACCGGCCACAUUGGGACUGAGAUACGGCCAGGACUCCUACGGGGGGCAGCGGUGGGGAAUAUUGCACAAUGGGCGGGGGCCUGAUGCAGCAACGCCGCGUGCGGGAUGACGGCCUUCGGUUUGUAAACCGCUUUCGCAUGUGACGAAGCGUGAGUGACGGUAAUGGGUAAAGAAGCACCGGCUAACUACGUG
rnacentral:rRNA from 1 species